AUCUCUUUUUAUUCUUAAAUCUCAAUUGACAAAUAUAUUUGUACAAUGCAAUGCUCGUAUAUUUUUCUUAAUCUGUUUUUAUUCUUAAAUCUUAAUUGACAAUAUCUUUGUCAUGACGAGCCGGUUUCAUUCCUUCUCGAGUCCAUGAUGGCUCAAAGUGAACGACAUCUUUAAACUAAUACAAAAAUACAAAAACCAGAUUCUUAUCAUUUGAGAAAACUCAUCCACCUU
rnacentral:lncRNA from 1 species